GGUAUCUUGAGGUAGUUGAGUUUGGCUCAUUUGGUGGUAGACUCGAACCAUGAGCUCUACUCACUUCUCCUUUGUCAGGAGUCGUUAAUGGCGGUGAUUGUUGCUCUUGAGAUCCAGCGACUGGCUGGAUUGAUGUUUACAGACGGUAGCUUUUAGUUUUGCAGUGUUUUGCUGUGGAAGCUUCCUUCUGUUGGCUCUUUUAACCUUCUACUUUAGCUCCGAAUGCUACAAGAAACGGCGGUGCUGAAUGAGUUUUGGAACUCUAGUUAUUCCCAUCUGCUAGGAUUUGAUCGUUAGGUUGGUU
rnacentral:misc_RNA from 1 species